UGGUCAAGUUAUUAAGGGUGCAGGGCGGAUGCCUUGGCACUAGGAGCCGAUGAAGGACGUGAUAAGCUGCGAUAAGCUUCGGGGAGUUGCACGUAAACUUUGAUCCGAAGAUUUCCGAAUGAGGAAACUCACUUAGAGUAAUGUCUAAGUAUCAUUAAGUGAAUACAUAGCUUAAUGAGGGGAACUCAGGGAACUGAAACAUCUAAGUACCUGAAGGAAGAGAAAGAAAUUCGAUUCCGUAAGUAGCGGCGAGCGAACGCGGAUUAGCCCAAACCAAUAAAGUUUUCUUUAUUGGGGUUGCGGACAUAUCAUAACGAAGAGGUAUCGUAAUUGAAGAGGUUUGGAAAGACCCACCACAGAAGGUAAUAGUCCUGUAUGUUAAACGAGAAGACUUCAGAUAUGAUCCAGAGUACCACGGGACACGUGAAACCCUGUGGGAAGCAGGAGGGACCACCCUCCAAGGCUAAAUACUACCUAGUGACCGAUAGCGUAUAGUACCGUGAGGGAAAGGUGAAAAGAACCCCGGGAGGGGAGUGAAAUAGAACCUGAAACCCUGCACUUACAAGCUGUGGAAGCACAUUUCUUGUGUGACCGCGUACUUUUUGUAGAACGGGCCAACGAGUUACGUUAAGUAGCAAGGUUAAGCACUUAAGGUGCGGAGCCGUAGCGAAAGCGAGUUUUAACUGAGCGUUCAGUUACUUGACGUAGACCCGAAACCGGGCGACCUACCCAUGAGCAGGAUGAAGCGAAAGUAAAAUUUCGUGGAGGUCCGAACCCACGAGCGUUGAAAAGCUCGGGGAUGACUUGUGGGUAGCGGUGAAAUUCCAAUCGAGCCCGGAGAUAGCUGGUUCUCCCCGAAAUAGCUUUAGGGCUAGCCUCAAGGUGAGAGAUACGGAGGUAGAGCACUGAAUGUCCUAGGGGGUAUUGCACCUACCGAAGACUAUCAAACUCCGAAUGCCGUCAUCUUAUACUUGGGAGUCAGACUGUGGGUGAUAAGAUUCAUAGUCGAAAGGGCAACAGCCCAGAUCGUCAGCUAAGGUCCCUAAAUGUAAGUUAAGUGGUAAAGGAUGUGGGAUUGCACAGACAACCAGGAUGUUGGCUUAGAAGCAGCCACUCAUUCAAAGAGUGCGUAAUAGCUCACUGGUCGAGUGAUCCUGCGCCGAAGAUUUCCGGGGCUAAAACUUACUACCGAAGCUACGGCAUCAGUAAUGAUGGGUAGGGGAGCUUCCCAUACGGGUUGAAGCAUGACCGUAAGGACAUGUGGACAGUAUGGGAGUGAGAAUGUUGGCAUGAGUAGCGAGAUGUGGGUGAGAAUCCCACAGGCCGUAAACCCAAGGUUUCCAGGGGAAGGUUCGUCCGCCCUGGGUUAGUCGGGACCUAAGCUGAGGCCGAAAGGCGUAGGUGAUGGACAACAGGUUGAUAUUCCUGUACUACCGAUAACCGUUUGAGAGAAGGGAUGACACAGUAGGAUAAGCUAAGCACACUGUUGGUUAUGUGUGCCCAAGCAUUGAGGCAGUCAAAGCAGGCAAAUCCGCUUUGAUAAUGCUGGGAUGUGAUGGGGAGCGAAAUUUAGUAGCGAAGUAGCUGAUUUCACACUGUCAAGAAAAGUCUCUAUCGAGGUUAAAGGUACCCGUACCGCAAACCGACACAGGUGGGUGAGGAGAGUAUCCUAAGGCCAGCGAGAGAACUGUUGUUAAGGAACUCGGCAAAAUGACCCCGUAACUUAGGGAUAAGGGGUGCCACCAUCCGGUGGCCGCAGAGAAUAGGCCCAAGCGACUGUUUACCAAAAACAUAGGUUUCUGCUAAGUCGCAAGACGAUGUAUAGGAGCUGACGCCUGCCCGGUGCUGGAAGGUUAAGGGGAUCUGUUAGAGCAAUCGAAGCAGUGAACUUAAGCCCCAGUAAACGGCGGCCGUAACUAUAACGGUCCUAAGGUAGCGAAAUUCCUUGUCGGGUAAGUUCCGACCCGCACGAAAGGCGUAACGAUUUGGGCACUGUCUCAACAACAGACUCGGUGAAAUUGUAAUUCCGGUGAAGAUGCCGGAUACCUGCGACAGGACGGAAAGACCCCAUGGAGCUUUACUGUAGCUUGACAUUGGGUCUUGGUACUACAUGUACAGGAUAGGUGGGAGGCUUUGAAACCAGGACGCCAGUUUUGGCGGAGCCAUCCUUGGGAUACCACCCUUGUAGUACUGGGACUCUAACCAUAGGCCAUGAAUCUGGUCUUGGGACACUGUCAGGUGGGCAGUUUGACUGGGGCGGUCGCCUCCCAAAAGGUAACGGAGGCGCUCAAAGGUUCUCUCAGUACGGUCGGAAAUCGUACGUAGAGUGUAAAGGCAAAAGAGAGCUUGAUUGCAAGACAUACAGGUCGAGCAAGGAUGAAAAUCGGACUUAGUGAUCCGGUGGUUCUGCGUGGAAGGGCCAUCGCUCAACGGAUAAAAGCUACCCUGGGGAUAACAGGCUUAUCUCCCCCAAGAGUCCACAUCGACGGGGAGGUUUGGCACCUCGAUGUCGGCUCAUCACAUCCUGGGGCUGUAGUAGGUCCCAAGGGUUGGGCUGUUCGCCCAUUAAAGUGGUACGCGAGCUGGGUUCAGAACGUCGUGAGACAGUUCGGUCCCUAUCCGUCGCAGGCGUAGGAAAUUUGAGAAGACCUGUCCUUAGUACGAGAGGACCGGGAUGGACGUACCUCUGGUGUACCAGUUGUUCUGCCAAGGGCAUGGCUGGGUAGCUAUGUACGGAAUGGAUAAGCGCUGAAAGCAUCUAAGCGCGAAGCCAACUUCAAGAUAAGAUUUCCCACCGCAAGGGUAAGACCCCAGAAAGACUAUCUGGUUGAUAGGUCGAAGGUGUAAGUGCAGCAAUGUAUUUAGCUUAUCGAUACUAAUAGGUCGAGGACUUGACCAAU
rnacentral:rRNA from 1 species